rnacentral:rRNA from 1 species
UGCAGUCGAACGAUGAAGGGGAGCUUGCUUCCUGGAUUAGUGGCGAACGGGUGAGUAACACGUGAGUAACCUGCCCUUGACUCUGGGAUAAGCGUUGGAAACGACGUCUAAUACCGGAUAUGACCUGUGACGGCAUCGUCUGCAGGUGGAAAGAAUUUUGGUCAAGGAUGGACUCGCGGCCUAUCAGGUAGUUGGUGAGGUAACGGCUCACCAAGCCGACGACGGGUAGCCGGCCUGAGAGGGUGACCGGCCACACUGGGACUGAGACACGGCCCAGACUCCUACGGGAGGCAGCAGUGGGGAAUAUUGCACAAUGGGCGAAAGCCUGAUGCAGCAACGCCGCGUGAGGGACGACGGCCUUCGGGUUGUAAACCUCUUUUAGUUGGGAAGAAGGGAGCUUGCUCUUGACGGUACCAGCAGAAAAAGCACCGGCUAACUACGUGCCAGCAGCCGCGGUAAUACGUAGGGUGCAAGCGUUGUCCGGAAUUAUUGGGCGUAAAGAGCUCGUAGGCGGUUUGUCGCGUCUGCUGUGAAAUCUGGGGGCUCAACCCCCAGCCUGCAGUGGGUACGGGCAGACUAGAGUGCGGUAGGGGAGAUUGGAAUUCCUGGUGUAGCGGUGGAAUGCGCAGAUAUCAGGAGGAACACCGAUGGCGAAGGCAGAUCUCUGGGCCGUUACUGACGCUGAGGAGCGAAAGCAUGGGGAGCGAACAGGAUUAGAUACCCUGGUAGUCCAUGCCGUAAACGUUGGGAACUAGAUGUAGGGGCCAUUCCACGGUUUCUGUGUCGCAGCUAACGCAUUAAGUUCCCCGCCUGGGGAGUACGGCCGCAAGGCUAAAACUCAAAGGAAUUGACGGGGGCCCGCACAAGCGGCGGAGCAUGCGGAUUAAUUCGAUGCAACGCGAAGAACCUUACCAAGGCUUGACAUAUACCGGAAACGUCCAGAGAUGGUCGCCCCGCAAGGUCGGUAUACAGGUGGUGCAUGGUUGUCGUCAGCUCGUGUCGUGAGAUGUUGGGGUUAAGUCCCGCAACGAGCGCAACCCUCGU